CAUCCCGGCUGCCAUCAGCCUGGAACGUUCCUGAACUCUUUGUUGCUGUGCUUUCCAGCACCGCCUUCAGUCUCGCUGUCUCCAGGAGCUCUUCCUACGUGAGAGGAGCCUGCGCUAAACAGAUGGAAGUACGAACAAACCCUGCUCAGCCUGCUGCUUAGACAAGUCCCCGGAUCUAGAAGGCAGCUGGGGACCAGAGUCCACACCGCAGCUCACCCCGUAGGGGCGGGGAUGGCCCUGCGGCUCCCUGCAGAGGGGACGGACUGUGCAGGAGGCGCCCAGCACCCAUAGGACCUCAGCAUCAGGCUCCCGCUGGAUGGGGGCAGGACGCACAGAGGAAAAGUCAAGUACUCAUAAAAGCUUGAGAACUUGGAGAAAUACCGGACAAAAAUUGUCAUGAGAGGCUACUUGAUUACCACACGUGCAACUGCCUGAGUAAGUUUAAACAGCAGAGGAAUGAAAGGACUCUGGGGGACAACUCUGACCGAAAACAUAGCUGAGAACCGGGAGCUUUAUGUCAAGACCACACUGCGGGAGCUUCUAGUGUACAUCGUGUUCCUCGUGGACAUAUGUCUGUCCAUGACCAAGUCACUGAUCCAAAUCCCGGCAUUCCACAUUUACACACAAAAUCAAUGGAUUCUUUCUGCCUUGAACAGUAUGAGAUGGUUCAGAGAAGCAAUCGUGUUUCAGAGACAGACAGUUGUUCUGGUUUGAAGCCUACGUGGAUGAAAUGUAAGAUUUUGGGUUUUACUUCCAGAACACCCCAGUUGUAGUCCUUGAGUGUAUGCGAUUGAAAGUGAAUAAAGAUAUCAAACA